rnacentral:sRNA from 1 species
GGGGAGGAGCCCCAGCCCCGCGACGAGGAGGAAGCGGAGCUGGAGCUGCUGAGGCAGUUUGACCUGGCCUGGCAGUACGGGCCCUGCACCGGUGAGAACCCACCCAGCCCCACGGAGGCGCCUCUCCCAGGCAGUCCCGUCACCCACACGUCUCUGAAGUCACCCAAGCGCUUGCGUGACUCUGACCCUCAGGCACUGUCUCCCCCCAACACACACGUUCUCCAGCUCAGACUCUACCCCACCCCCCACAAGUCUCCAGAGUCGUCUUCCCACCCUGGUAGGGAUCACACGGCUGCAGCGCUGGUGUCGGGCCAAGCAGAUGGGCUUGGAGCCUCCCCCAGAGGUGUGGCAGGUGCUGAAGACCCACCCCGGAGACCCCCGCUUCCAGUGCAGUCUCUGGCAUCUCUAUCCCCUAUGAGGCACCACGUAGGACCUCCUGCCUUUAGCUCUCUUGCUCACCACCCAAGAACCUCAGGACAGAAGCGAGAACCCAUUGCUCCUGCUCAGCUCAGCCCUGCUGCGGAGGAACCCUUGGCAGGCAGAACCUGGAGGUGUCAGAGGCUCAACUCCUCCAUCUAACCAGCAGGCUCCCAGAGCCCUCUGGAAGAGCCUGCGCAGCUGAAGCAGAGUGCGUCUAGAUGGAGAGUGGUCACUGGGGAAAAGGACCUGGCCAUCACCUUCCAGUACCUACUGCCUGUCUCCCUGACCCAUGGUGUGGCAAGUUAGGCACAGUCAGACAUGGACAGUUGAUCCAUGAGGAAAAGAUGCUCUCCCACCUAAGGCCAGGAAUCUGAGAGCAGGACUGGCUGAGCUCCCAGGGCAAGGGGUUCACUAAUGCUUAUCAAUAAAGAAUAUUGAGCCUGGAA